CACAAAAUAAUACAGGCCCAGAAAGCCCACGCAAGGAACCGAAGCGUAGGAGCUCUUGGAAGGCCGCAAUGGCGAUGAGGUGCCUCUCUUCUCUCCCUCUCCUCUCCCCGUCCUGCUCCAGGAAAGCCUGCGCUGUGGUCAAGACGCAUCCUGUCAACUCUGCCGCCGCGCACCGCCGGAUCCGGACCCAUAUGUCGGUGGCCACAGGCGGCGAGCAGGCCCUGACGGCCCAGGAGCAGUUCCAGGAACCUGAAUAUGGAGUUGUUAGUAUUCACCAUGUUGGAAUACUAUGUGAAAAUCUUGAAAGGUCAAUAGCCUUCUAUCAGGACAUCCUUGGUCUUAAGGUGAAUCUUGCUAGGCCAAAUGACAAGCUACCGUACAGAGGUGCUUGGCUCUGGGUUGGCUCUGAGAUGAUCCACUUGAUGGAGUUGCCAAAUCCGGAUCCACUGACAGGACGCCCAGAGCAUGGUGGACGUGAUCGUCAUACCUGUAUAGCAAUCAAAGAUGUGUUGAAAUUGAAAGAAAUUUUUGACAAAGCUGGAAUCAGCUACACGCUCAGCAAAUCCGGGCGACCAGCGAUCUUUGCACGAGACCCAGAUGGAAAUGCGUUGGAAUUCACUCAAGUGUAGCAACCGAGAGGUUGAUUUCCAACUGGAACACCUCGUAGCAUUAUGCUUGUAUGAUCCAACGACCUUGUUGCAGGUCUUGCUGUUUAGUAAAUAAGGUCUGUCUGGGGCAAUUCAGCUUGUGCCUUGUACAUAUCAGUCAAGUAAACGAGAUGUAUACCACAUGAUGAUAGAUUGAUAGCAAGUGAUGCACUACUCAGGUCAUGGUAUUCGAGCACUGGAAAUGCUGUCAGUAUGGUACGAUAUUACUCAAGGCAAUUUAUAUGUAAACACACGAUGAAUCUUGUAAAUUCCUUCCACAUGAUGAUAAUAAUACUUGCAGUAAAUUUGCCUGGCUA